rnacentral:lncRNA from 1 species
AUGCACUUUGCUGUUUACAGUAUGCAACUUGCUACUAUGAGUUCAGAUUCGGUUAUAUUGUUGCAGACGGUGACAUUUUCUGCUGAAAACCACCAAGAUCAACGGACUAAAGACCCCAAAGAAACCAACUAUCCAAUAGGUGUGGACCAAAGACUCAAAAGAAAGGAAAACAAACACAAAACACAAAGGAGAGGACGAAAGAGGUGUCCGGUGGCUGGCUGUCAAGUCACCGUCAUUCACCUACCUCMUCACCUGCGGCAGGUCCAUGAGUGGGGCAGGGGGAAGGCCCAGUCUGCAGUCAACACAUUCGGUCUCGGUGCACCAAGCAGACAUGGUGACAGCAGCAGCAAGGCUAAAAACAACCAUCACUCCAGGCCUUGCCCCAUGACAGGCRGUCAUGAAGUGGUCAAAAGACUGCCAGCCCACCUGAGAAAGCAACACAAGCUUGAAAAGAACUCUCCUCUAUACAGAGAGCUUCUUACAGCGUCACAGAAGAGAAGCAUUCUGACUCAGACACCCUUUCMGAGGCUUGUAACAGAUACAGCAUAGAAAGACCAGCAUCAAUUCAUAUCCAAAGUGGUCACAGAUGUUAUUAUUCUUCAUUUACACACAGACCUUUUUGUAGGAUGUAAACCUUAUGUAUGUCCAGGAGUGUAAAGUACUUUAGUAAAAAUACUUUAAAGUACUACUUAAGUAGUUUUUUGGGUAUCUGUACAUAACUUUAUUAUUUAUAUUUUUGAAAACUUUUACUCCACUACAUUUCCCUGACACCCAAAAGUACUCGUUACAUUUUGAAUGCUUAGCAGGACAGGAAAAUUGUCUAAUUCACACACUAAUCAAGAGAACCCCCUUGGUCAUCCCUACUGCCUCUGAUCUGGCAGACUCACUAAACACAAAUGCUUAGUUUGUAAAUUAUGUCUGACUGUUGAAGUGUGCCCCUGGCUUUCCGUAUAAAAAAUAUUUUWAAAACAUUGUGCCGUCUCAGUUGAUUAUUAUAAGGAAUUUUAAAU